rnacentral:snRNA from 1 species
GUACUUGCUUUGGCAACACAUACACUAAAAUUCAAACAAUACAGAGAAGAUUAGCAUGGUCCCUGUGCAAGGAUGACAUGCAAAUUCGUGAAGCGUUCCAUAUUCUU